rnacentral:rRNA from 1 species
AUGCGCAGGGACCUCGGCAGCGAGGCAUUAGUGCGCCGGCACCGCGCACGGGCGCAGCUGUGGGUCGCGGUCGCGGCGCUUACCGGCACCAUCUGGCUCUUGUCCUCUUCCUCCGUUGUCCUCUUCGGCACCCACAGGGUCCAGGAUUUUGUUGUAGAUGAGUUGUGGAGAACUGCAGAUUCAAAUCGUUGGAGAGCAUCUUUUGCACCACACACCUAUUGGCCUCCCCCACCAACUGAAUCCGAGAGCAAUGGGUACUUGCGUGUCCGAUGCAAUGGUGGCUUGUCCCAACAACGAAGUGCAAUAUGUAAUGCUGGCGCUCUAUCCAUGGAUUCCGGCAUUAGCUCGAAACGCUCAGGACAAAUUAGGUCUCGGCCAAUGGUGGAGAAGACGGAGUACAGGGAUGAGCCGCUCGAGCACGGUUUGAUGGGAUGUUCGCGCGCAAGAUGCAGAAGUUCGCUAGAAGGAAAAAGAGCUGGGCGUCGAGGAGGAGAAGAAGGUGGUAUGCAAGGUGCUUGCAGGCCCAGCAGCAGGAGGCCGUCCUUGAGGUGCUCCUCUGGAUGGUUCAUUCCGGCGCUGGGCCUACGUGUUCAAUGCUGCCCUCACCAUCCCCUUCUUCCAUUGGCUCAUCGGCCCGUCAGAGUUCAAAGAUCUAAUACUCCGCACUGCCUCCUGUCCAUUUUCAGAUAUAUAUAUUUAUAUAAGGUUUAUCGUCACCCCAUGUAUCAUAUGUUGUUGAUCGACCAGGUUAUUGAGGUGGAGGUCAACGGGGUGAGGCAGAGAAGUGGAGUGCUCAUAAAGAAACGAAGCAGCUGCCUGGACUCGCUGCUGCCGCCGCCUCAGUCGCUUUCGCCUAGGCAUCCCGUCGCUAGCAAGGAGCAACUGUUGCUAUUGGGACUGGUGCUUGUGUAG